rnacentral:rRNA from 1 species
CUGAGGCAGCUUACACAUGCAAGUCGAGCGCACUCUUCGGAGUGAGCGGCGGACGGGUUAGUAACGCGUGGGAACGUGCCCUUCUCUAAGGAAUAGCCACUGGAAACGGUGAGUAAUACCUUAUACGCCCUUCGGGGGAAAGAUUUAUCGGAGAAGGAUCGGCCCGCGUUAGAUUAGAUAGUUGGUGGGGUAAUGGCCUACCAAGUCUACGAUCUAUAGCUGGUUUUAGAGGAUGAUCAGCAACACUGGGACUGAGACACGGCCCAGACUCCUACGGGAGGCAGCAGUGGGGAAUCUUGGACAAUGGGCGCAAGCCUGAUCCAGCCAUGCCGCGUGAGUGAUGAAGGCCUUAGGGUCGUAAAGCUCUUUCGCCAGAGAUGAUAAUGACAGUAUCUGGUAAAGAAACCCCGGCUAACUCCGUGCCAGCAGCCGCGGUAAUACGGAGGGGGUUAGCGUUGUUCGGAAUUACUGGGCGUAAAGCGCACGUAGGCGGAUCAGAAAGUAUAGGGUGAAAUCCCAGGGCUCAACCCUGGAACUGCCUUGUAAACUCCUGGUCUUGAGUUCGAGAGAGGUGAGUGGAAUUCCGAGUGUAGAGGUGAAAUUCGUAGAUAUUCGGAGGAACACCAGUGGCGAAGGCGGCUCACUGGCUCGAUACUGACGCUGAGGUGCGAAAGUGUGGGGAGCAAACAGGAUUAGAUACCCUGGUAGUC